GCGGGGGACAGGAGGCUGCAGCCUCUUCUCGCCCGCAGGUCAGGUACAGUGCGGGCAAGUGCACUGCAGGCUGCCCUACACCGCGCCGCCCGUGCACCUCAAAGCCGACAUGGAGGGGCCGCUCUCCAGCCGGCCUGAGAAGGUAACCGCGGCCGCCCUGGCGCGUCCGGGCUCAAACCUCA
rnacentral:sRNA from 1 species